rnacentral:lncRNA from 1 species
AUUAUUGGCAUCCUCCCACGAGCUCCUACCAGGCCAGUGCCAGAAACACUCAUCUACUCCCUUAUGGAAGAUCACUGAGUCAUGAGAUCUGUGGUUUGUCUGAUUCUCCACUUCCCGAAGCCAGCCAAGGCUAACCGACCUGGGAUUCUGAGAGACUGUCCAGAGGUUGGAGGUCUGGAGGAAGAGGACUCCCUCUUUUACUUCAUUCAGUUGUCCCCCACAUCCUCAGCAGUAGAAGUGUUUCUUGCCAUUUUAGCUUUCAGAGGCCAGUCUCAUUUUGUCCAGCAAUGACAGCAACAGCAAAACCUUCCUUUGGCCCUCAUUCACAAUACAGUGUUCUGGGAGGAGGCGGCUGACCAGCUGACUGCAGUGAUGAAGAAAGGAGUGUCCCACAGGACUCUGAUUCAGCAGGGACCUCCAGAGCUUCUGACUCAUGGGGGUGUGCUCCCAAGGGACAUAGGUGUGUCUUCAAGUGCCAAGAAUGAAUGGGAACUGGCUUCUGCACUUGGCCCUGUGAGAACAGCCUAAGCCAAGGGAGGGGAGAUUCUAAAAGAAAUGACUGUAAUUAAAGGUAGAAAAAAG